rnacentral:misc_RNA from 1 species
AAGUCGUAACAAGGUUUCCGUAGGCGAACCUGCGGAAGGAUCAUUAACAACAUAUCCUAACUAAAAAACCCUGUGAACUUUCAACCCCAAGCUCUUGAUCCGAGGAGUUCAGCAAUCCCUGGUAAAUCAUCGCCGAACAGUUUUGAUUCAGGGAUCUCUGCGAAGAGAGCGGUUGUAGCGCGAGGUAAGUGGCCUGGCAUUCCUCUGCUUGUUAGUGUCUGACAGUGUCACUAGCUCUGUACGAAUGGCGCAGUCACGAUCGCUAGAGGCCGACACGGCCGGCGACCGGGUCACCGGGCAUAGACCCCCCUAUCACCUUUGCAUGAAAACGGGCCUGCGCUUAAUUGUGCGGCCACCAAACUCGAACAACUGUUAACAAUGGAUAUCUUGGUUCUC